rnacentral:lncRNA from 1 species
UUUGCUUUCCAUUUCUUUGUGUUCCUGGCUUUGAUUGCAGCCUCAGGUUGGUGUCUCCAGGAGCAGCACCCAUCCCUGACCCUCUGUGCUCCCUCCCUGCAGGGUGACAUCCAGCAGCUCCUGAUCGUGGCGGACCCGCGGGCAGCCCUGGAGUACUGUGAGCACUACAGCCCCGACUGUGACACCGCCAUCCCCGACUCCCCCCAGUCCCAGGACCCCAACCAGGAUGAAUACUACACAGAUGGGGAGGGAGAAGGUGACACUUACUACUACGAGUACCCCUACUAUGAGGACGUGGACGAAGCUGUCAAACCAGAAAGCCCCACCACCAAACCCAGCCCUCCUGAAGUGGCUGCUGGAGAGAAACCCGAAACCAAGCAGGAUUAUCCAGCUCCCACAGCACCCCCUGAGAGAGGGAACCCCGGGAAGCAGGCCAAGGAGGAUGGAGCAGUGGAUGAUCCCCUGGUUGAUGAGUACAACUACGAGACCAUCA